UCGAAAUGUAAACGUUUGAAAGUUGCAGUUUUUUUCGUAUUUUUAACAACUUUGUGUUGUAUGGUUAUGUUUGUACCGUGAACCUUUACGUUUGUAUAAAUAAUCAUUUUCGGUGUAGUAAUUGAUUUAAAUUCAGUGCUUGAAGUGGACCGGUACCGGCAGCUCUUCAAAUUCCACAAGACAAGUUUCACGAGAACUCCUUGACUGUGCAUGGAAAACGAAAAAACUUGUGCAAGCAUCUAGGAAACGCUCGAUCAGUUAUACUGUCAUGAAGCAGGCUUUUGACAAAGUUCAGAUUGACUACAGUGGUGCACGAUAUUACCUUUUUUCUUUUCAGUUUAGUUCCUUAUGUUGGAGUAAUGUGUCUAAAUUGUAAUACCAAAUAAUCUGCCAUGUUUUUGUACCGUCAAUUUUAAUAGUAUUUCAUGGAAAUUCAACAUUCUACUUUACUGUCCGUCUUUUAAAGAUGCUGAUAAUAUUUUUUUUUCAUGCAUAAAUUGUGGCAUUCAUAUAAUGUGCCCUCCACUAUUAAUGACACCCCUUAUAAAAAUUUAUUUAAUUAGUUAAAGUUAAUUUUAAAAAUAUUCAUUUCUUGAUUAGGGCUUUGUUGUUCUUUGAAUGAAAUUGUUUCAAUUAAAAGUCACAUGUUUCUAAGUUUUUCAGUGCAAGGUGACAUUUCUUCUGCAAACAGGAAUUUUUUUUCUAAACCUUCUUACAAAUUUUUACAAGGGGUGACAAUAGUGGAGAGCACUGUAUUUAUCCAUUUUAUCUUAGGAUGACGUGCCUGUGACUUGCAUAUUACUUUAGGUAGUAUCCAGAUUGGAGUAUUCAUAAUACUCUGAAAUAAUUGAUGUAUUCUAAAAAGCUAUUGAGAUAACCAUGAAGAGAGUUUUUGUAGUGAACACAGAGGAAUUCUCACAGUUUGAACUCUAUUCCAAUGUGUCCACUUUUAUGAGAAAACAGGAGUGUUCAGACCAAAACCAGAUAGCUUGCACAAAACAAAUAUUACAUGUGACAAUGUGAUGUAUUUAUUUGUGUGUGUCCACAGUGUAGGAGAGCAGACUGGCUGUGUGGCUGAAGUAGGUCAGCUGACUCGAGAACAAGGGGCUUGGGUUUAUGAGGCAGUAGAGAUCAGCAGGACCUCCAGGGGGACUUAACAUGAAAAACUGUUGAAGUUCAUAAUAAAGGGCCAUGGAGCAGAUGGUCACUUGCUGGUAACUUAGUUCAGAUAAUAAGUAAAACUUUGUUAUUGUAAUUUAUCUAGUAGCAAAGUGCUAUGAUAACUUUAGAGCACCAAACUGUUGUAUUUGCUUGUCCAACAAGCUGCUGUAUCUGAAAAGGUGUCAUCCAAAUGGUUUAAAAAUGAUGAAGAUCCUAAAGGUCACUGGGCAAUGACCUCUAUACAGUAGAAGAUGAGGAGCUGACAGAUGGCCUCUACAAUUACCUGAUGAAGUGCUGUCAAGAGCCGUAGCUCUCAUUAAAGCUUGAGGAACAGUUGAGAGGAUCUCUGUACCAGAGGCAGAAGGUCUGUUCAUUGAUGGAUCAGCAGACGGUGAGCGAAGAGUUUGACACACUCGUGCUUCAACUGUUGGAGUUUUAGGAGGACAGACGGCAUCACUAAGGCAUCUCAACUUGGGAUUCCAUCUCAGCCGCUCCUGUAAAAAACGUGUCACUUGCUUUAUUUGUCUUUGGCCUUUUUAUUUCUAACUGUUAAACUGACUGUGCAUAAUAGAGUUAUGUUUAUUUGAUUUAACUAUUGAUGUAAAUAAUAAAGGACACUUUGUUGAUUAAGUUCUGUAUAUUUGAAAUUGUUUGUGUAUCUGUUUUAGCCA